CCUACGGGAGGCAGCAGUAGGGAAUAUUGCGCAAUGGGGGAAACCCUGACGCAGCAACGCCGCGUGAGUGAGGAAGGUCUUAGGAUUGUAAAACUCUUUUAUUUGGGAAAAAUGACCAUAUGGCUAAUAUCCAUAUGGAGUGAUGGUACCAAAGGAAUAAGCACCGGCUAACUUCGUGCCAGCAGCCGCGGUAAU
rnacentral:rRNA from 1 species